AGGGCCUUUCCACUCCUGCCAG
rnacentral:misc_RNA from 1 species